rnacentral:rRNA from 1 species
CACGUAGGGGACGAGCGUUGUCCGGAUUCAUUGGGCGUAAAGGGCGCGUAGGCGGCCCGCUAAGUCGAACGUGAAAUCCCCAGGCUUAACCUGGGAACUGCGUCCGAUACUGGUGGGCUUGAAUCCGGGAGAGGGAUGUGGAAUUCCAGGUGUAGCGGUGAAAUGCGUAGAUAUCUGGAGGAACACCGGUGGCGAAGGCGGCAUCCUGGACCGGUAUUGACGCUGAGGCGCGAAAGCUAGGGGAGCAAACGGG